AAGUCGUAACAAGGUUUCCGUAGGUGAACCUGCGGAAGGAUCAUUAAUGAGUUAGGGUCUUCCAGGCCCGAUCUCCAACCCUUUGUAUAAUCACCAUGUUGCUUUGGCGGGCCCGUCUUUCACCGGACCGCCGGGAGUUUCUCGACCCCUGGCCAGUGCUCGUCAAUAGCCCUCAACAAACUCUUUUAACCAUGUUAAAACUGAAAAUUAUUUAAAUAACUAAAA
rnacentral:misc_RNA from 1 species